UACGUAGGGGGCAAGCGUUGUCCGGAAUCAUUGGGCGUAAAGAGCGUGUAGGCGGUCCUGUAAGUCCGCUGUGAAAGUCAAGGGCUCAACCCUUGAAUGCCGGUGGAUACUGCAGGACUAGAGUCCGGAAGAGGCGAGUGGAAUUCCUGGUGUAGCGGUGAAAUGCGCAGAUAUCAGGAGGAACACCGGUGGCGAAGGCGGUUCUCUGGGCAUGUCCUGACGCUGAGGAGCGAAAGUGUGGGGAGCGAACAGG
rnacentral:rRNA from 1 species